AAUGCCCCUAGAGGCAUUGUAGCUGCCAUGCUGCAUGUUUGCCAGUAGGUGGCAGAAAGGAGAAAGGCUAUGUCUCAGCUCAGUGUUUUGACCUGUGAGCAUCAGAAUACUUAGCAGCCUAACACU